GCGAACGCUGGCGGCAGGCCUAACACCUGCCAGUCGAACGAACUCUUCGGAGUUAGUGGCGGACGGGUGAGUAACACGUGGGAACGUGCCUUUUGGUUCGGAAUAACUCAGGGAAACUUGUGCUAAUACCGAAUGUGCCCUUCGGGGGAAAGAUUUAUCGCCAUUAGAGCGGCCCGCGUCUGAUUAGCUAGUUGGUGAGGUAACGGCUCACCAAGGCGACGAUCAGUAGCUGGUCUGAGAGGAUGACCAGCCACACUGGGACUGAGACACGGCCCAGACUCCUACGGGAGGCAGCAGUGGGGAAUCUUGCGCAAUGGGCGAAAGCCUGACGCAGCCAUGCCGCGUGAAUGAUGAAGGUCUUAGGAUUGUAAAAUUCUUUCACCGGGGACGAUAAUGACGGUACCCGGAGAAGAAGCCCCGGCUAACUUCGUG
rnacentral:rRNA from 1 species